CCUUUGAGGGGGAGGACACAGGGGUCAUUCCUUAGUAUUCCCUCAGCCCAUGACAGGCAGCACCCCACUCUCCCCAAUGGGGGUGGGGUGCAGGCAUGGCCUGGCCAGGAACAGGUUCCCUUGGUAGGCUGCUAAGCCAGGUGCAGGAAGAAGCUGGCAGACAGCCUCUCCAGCAGGAAUACAGGGUUUUCCCUGCA